rnacentral:tRNA from 2 species
CUCAGGAUGGCCGAGCGGUUUAAGGCGCUGCGUUCAGGUCGCAGUCCGGUCUUCCGGGCGUGGGUUCGAAUCCUACUUCUGACA